GUCGAAGGUGGGGCUGAUGACUGGGGUGAAGUCGUAACAAGGUAGCCGUACCGGAAGGUGCGGCUGGAUCACCUCCUAACAGGGAGACAAACAACGAUUUUGAUGUCUGAGUUUUUUUAUUCUUAGGCCAAAAUCCUGUCACCUUAGGUCGAUCGGUACCUCAACUUUGAAGCUAAGAGUAUUCAGCAAUGGAUAUUUGCUUAGUGGAGAUUUUUAGUUCCUAAACUUUGUCUAGUUCACAACCCAUUAGGGAUGAGACUCCUGGGCCAUUAGCUCAGGUGGUUAGAGCGCACCCCUGAUAAGGGUGAGGUCCCUGGUUCAAGUCCAGGAUGGCCCAUUCGGUGUAGGGGGUUUAGCUCAGUUGGUAGAGCGCCUGCUUUGCAAGCAGGAUGUCAGGAGUUCGAGUCUCCUAACCUCCACUGACUACCAAAAUCCCCAUCUCCAAAACCUGGAGUAUGAACUCGUAUGGAUUGUGAUUUAGAUGUGUCCGCUAGAUGACCCUAGCUUCUUGUCAUUUUAAGGCAUGGAAAUAGUUCCAUGAUAUUUAAUUGAUAGGAUGCUGGGCUCGAUUCAAUGUAUUGAGAGAUCAAUGCAUUGUUUUGAUGUCUGGUCGAACCUUGACAACUGCAUAGUAAGUCUGGAAAGAAUAAAGCAUCUUUAUGGAUGCAUCAUUCUUGAGUGUUAAUUCACGAUGGGAUGGUGUUAAUUCUAAAGCAAGAGCCGAGACUCCAGCAUGUUCUUUCAAAUGUGUCGAGCAUUUGAGAGUUUGAUUUUAAUUUCUAUUUUUAGAAGUUAGAAGAAUCUGUUUCAACGACAGCAAGCGUGUUGGAGAUACAUUGGUCAAGCUACAAAGGGCUCAC
rnacentral:misc_RNA from 1 species